GACGAACGCUGGCGGCGUGCUUAACACAUGCAAGUCGAACGGAAAGGCCCUGCUUUUGUGGGGUGCUCGAGUGGCGAACGGGUGCGUAACACGUGAGUAACCUGCCCUUGACUUUGGGAUAACUUCAGGAAACUGGGGCUAAUACCGGAUAGGAGCUCCUGCUGCAUGGUGGGGGUUGGAAAGUUUCGGCGGUUGGGGAUGGACUCGCGGCUUAUCAGCUUGUUGGUGGGGUAGUGGCUUACCAAGGCUUUGACGGGUAGCCGGCCUGAGAGGGUGACCGGCCACAUUGGGACUGAGAUACGGCCCAGACUCCUACGGGAGGCAGCAGUGGGGAAUAUUGCACAAUGGGCGGAAGCCUGAUGCAGCAACGCCGCGUGCGGGAUGACGGCCUUCGGGUUGUAAACCGCUUUCGCCUGUGACGAAGCGUGAGUGACGGUAAUGGGUAAAGAAGCACCGGCUAACUACGUG
rnacentral:rRNA from 1 species